UCGAAUGUCACAUCUUUACUAUAUAACAGGAGUUCUAUACAAAAUAAUUAAAUAAUUACAUCAUAUGAGGAAACGAUCCAGCAACCCAAAGUUGACUGGGAGACGACGGCCUAGACCUCUCACGAACACAUCGCAGCAUCCUCCAAGCGCCUCAUCCUGCGGUACCUGUUCUUGACCUGUGGGGGUGUGAGACAGCAAGAGUGAGCUCACAUACGUUCAUCGCUCAACAAGUUGUGGGGAAUAAUGUGUAUGAACUCGCCAAAGGUGGGAGCUCAUGUGAAGUGUCAGGCUUACCAAAGAGGAUGGCUGAAGCUGAGCAUUGCUUUUAAAGUUGGUCAAAAUUUUAUUAGCCAUUACUAAGUAUAAGUAAAUACCAACCCAAUUAAAUAGUAGAACAGAAGUAACAACAUCACCUGCGAUGCAAUGCAUAUGACAAAUUGAAUUUAAGUUCCAUAGAUUAAUCAUGUGAGUGUCCGAGCCGCUCAUGACCGUGAGCACGGCUAGUAUACCAGUUUUACACUCUGCAGAGGUUGCGCAUCUUUACCCACAAGUCAUGUUACCCAUCUGCCAAGGGAUCGCGACUUCCCAUACACCUCUACCGAGGAGGCGAGGCAGGGUAACACUACGAGGCCUUUACAAAGUUCCACUAGCUUCAGAAAACCCGCUACAGUUUAUAGGAAGCUCCAAUGCAGGAAUCCCUUGCAGGACCGCCAUCGCAGCAAAAUCCUCCCGAGGGCCUCCCUACACUGACCACUCCCCUACUGCCCUUGCCCCUUUCGGGUAAGGUAGUCUUCCACUAGCUUUCCUAAUUAAUCGGCCAAGGGCGUCCCAUUAAACCCUUGUGGUAGCACUGUUUUCCCGGGUGGUUCUCCAUGUUCCAAUUAACAUAAUGAUCUUAUCAUGAACAGUAAAUAGCAACUGAUAACAAAAGUAUGAAUAAUAUGUAUCUCAAUGCCCAAAUCCACAUAUAGCACUAGCAAGUACUACCCAGAAAGUUUAGUGGUAAACAAGGCAUAAAGAUAGACAAACUAGGGUAACCUAUUAGGUCCCAUCAAAUUAACCUAUGCAGAUCAUUAUGAUUAAUUAGAACAUGAGUGGGUAAAAGAAGUGAUCAAGGGCACAACUUGCCUGGGACUUGAGAUUCCAGAUACCAGGAUGAUCUUCAGGUGACUCGUAACCUCGCUGCUAGUCGUAGCAAUACAAACAAACAUGGUAUGGACAAAAUUAACAUCACACCAAACAUAAGAAUAAACCGUGUAAUAAUAAUCUACGCGCUGUUACGAGAUCGUGGGAUCGAGAACGACUAAAUUCGGAGUCACGGUUAAGGAGUUAUGGUUUUCAGAAGACCCAUGCAAUUUAAGCAGUUAAAACUAGACCUUAUGUUAUUAAUAGAUCAUGUGAGAAAAUAAUCUAAAUAAUUAAUUCAACUUUAAGUUAAAUUAUAAUAUAAUUAGGGAUGAUAUUUUAGCCAAACUAUAGUUAUAAACAAAUUAACUUUGAUUUAGAGAGGUUAAUCUACUAAACAUAGGCUAAACAAAUAUCUAAUUAUAAAAAUUAUUUUCUAUGGUACAAUUAAUGUUUGCACUGCAUAGACAAUAUUUUUAUGAAGCUAACGCAAUUUGAAUGGAUCAAAUUGGAGUUACAGUUAUUGAGUUACGAAUUUCUGAAGUUAUUUAGCACCUAGAAUAGAUUAAUUCAAACGAACCAUUUUAAUUCAAGUUUCAUGGCUAAACAAAGGUACUAGGUGAUACACAAUAUUAAUACAAAAUUAUUGCAACUGGAAUGACUCAAUUUGGAGUUAAAAUGAAUUAACUAUGAAUUUGAUUAUCUUUGUAUUAAAAAUCAAUUUCUGUAAUUAAUUAUCCAUUUUCAUUGUUCUCUAGACCGAGCACUAAUUACAGAGGACCCCGGGGGCAGAACCAGAAGUUUUCCCCAGACUCAGACAACCUGCUGGUGGACGGCGGGUUGAUUGUAUAAAAGUGUAGGAGCUCUUUUGAAAAACAAACAGGGCCGAAGGGGUAUGCACUAUUCUGGAUCGUCCCGAACUCGAUCUAGGGCUAGGAUUAAAUUUCCAUAAUACUGAAUCGGUAUGUGCUGUCGACCCUCUGAUUGGAAUUCAACGCCCAUGAUUUUAAAUGCCGCGAUGCAAUUCCAACCACCCGAUCUCGAUCCAACGGCAUAGCCAACAUCUAACCCAAUCGGUACCAUCGUUACAAUCCACACGGUUCAAUCUGCCAUCAACGGCCAAAGGAUCCAUCUUCUACCCCGAUGCAGACCCGAGCGGCGCGUCUUCCUCACAACACCUCCUCCCCUACCCAUCGGCCAUCGGUCAGGCGCUUAAGUCCCCCAUGGCGGCAGCCAUGGCCGGUGUUUCGGACCCAGCACAACGACGUUCCAACCGGACCAAGAACCUAAGCUACGUGACGCGGAGAACCCAGCGAACAAACAAGAGAGGACGCACCUGCGACCGGAACAAUGACCGAGUCUGCCCACAUCACAAGAUCUUCACGCAACGGCACACCACUGCUGGCAACGACAUCAAACACCCACCAGUGACACACCAUGACCCGACUAUGCGCACGGAACGGCAGCACAGGCGGAAUUCCAAGGCGGUGGUGCUACUUUCUUUCUCUCGCUUCGAUUUCUUGUUGUGGCCGAGCGCCGAGCUGAUGGGACGACCGGACGAGGGCAUGCUGUGCUUGUUUAUAUAUAUCCGAGCGAGAAAAUCCGUUGCCGAGAAGCUCGGGCAGAGGCCGAAUUGACCGAUGCGACCGAGCGAGUAUCGGCGGGAUUUGUUUGCAAUCGGUGACAGGCGCUGAGUUGGAUUUGGAAGAAGACGACCCUGACGCGGCGACACAAACUCAUCUCUCUGCUACCUCCCAACUCUGCACACCAUGAUUAAUGGAUUGAUACAGGAGCUCGCAGCGACCUGCGCUUUAUAGCCCAGCAUCGACGCCGCAUCCAUGGCCCACCGUGCGCAGGUGCUCGUCGAGGCCAAGGGUUUGGGCGCUUCUAGGACUUCUAG
rnacentral:lncRNA from 1 species